GACGAACGCUGGCGGCGUGCCUAAUACAUGCAAGUAGGACGCAGUUGCGAACGGGUGAGUAACGCGUAGGUAACUACCUAUUAGAGGGGGAUAACUAUUGGAAACGAUAGCUAAUACCGCAUACUAGUAGAUGGAACUGCGUUGUAUUAGGUAGUAGGUUGGGUAAUGGACUACCUAGGCAACGAUACAUAUCCGACUGGGGAGGGUGAUCGGCCACAAUGGGAAUGAGUGACGGCCCAGAUCCCCAAGGGAGGCAAGAGUAGGGAAUCUUCGGCAAUGGGGGGAACGCUGACCGAGCAACGCCGCGGGAGUGGAGAAGGUUUUCGGAUCGUAAAGCUCUGUUGUUAAGGAAGCGGUACUUAACCAGAAAGGGACGGCUAACUACGUGCCAGCAGCCGCGGUAAUAC
rnacentral:rRNA from 1 species